AUUGAACGCUGGCGGCAGGCCUAACACAUGCAAGUCGAGCGGAGCGGCGGACGGGUGAGUAAUGACUAGCUCUCUACCUGGUAGAGGGGGAUUACGUCCGGCACGGAGCGCUAAUAAAGCCUACUAUCCACUAGGCCUGGGUCGGAUUAUCUAGUUGGUGGGGUAAAGGCCUACCAAGGCUACGAUCCGUACCUGGUCUGAGUGGAUGAUCAGUCACACUGGAACUGAGACACGGUCCAGACUCCUAAGGGAGGCAGCAGGGGGGAAUAUUGGACAAUUGGCGAAAGCGUGGUCCAGCCAUGCCGCGUGUGUGAAGAAGGUCUUCGGAUUGUAAAGCACUUUAAGUUGGGAGGCGUUACCAGCAGAAGAAGCACCGGCUAACUUCGUGCCAGCAGCCGCGGUAAUUC
rnacentral:rRNA from 1 species